CUCUAAAAACCAUAUCCACUUAUAGUUUUCAAUAACACUUAACAUGGUCUAAUUAUACUCUUAAAUGACCUUAAAAUACCUCAUUGCAUGUAAACCUCAUCUCAUCAGUUUUUAUACAUGCUAGGUUGUCCCCUUUUAUCUUAAGGAUUUCCAUGACUUGUGACUCAAUUAAGAUUGGCUCUUUAUCUUAACCCAUUGCCCUCAAUUAAGAUUGGCUCUUUAUCUUAACCCAUUGCCAAAAUUAUGACCUAACCACCGCAUGUGAUUUGAUCAUGCUACAUAUGACUAAUUGUAAUACACUAUAUUUAAUCAUCACAAGAACAUUGGAACAUAACAUGCACAAUUUGGUAGGUCAUAACCUACACCAACAUGAGCUAAUUUCCAUGUCCAUAUACAAGUGAAUAUGUAUUGUAGUGGGCCAAAUUUGCCCGGGCCCACUAGAAACCUAAAUAUACAAUAAAUAAAUAAAUAAACCUCAGUCCAUUAAAUAACCCUAUCAGACCCAAACCCAAUUUUAAAACUUGGCCCAAAUUUACAAGGCCCGAUAGGCCCAGAACACUAAACCAAGACUGAAGCCCUAGCAGCACGUGUUUGCACCUCAGCAUCCUCGGUCUCCGUACCACCUCUGUACCCCCAUGCCACUCCAGCCUAGACCCAUACCCCGUGCGCAUGCCAACAGACCAGUACCUGCAAAACAAAAAGCAACAGCAGUAGAGACAAACAAAAAGAACAGCACAAACACAACAGCAAGAAAAUUUGUAUUUUUGAUUUUCUUUUCUUUUCUCGGCUAUAAAGCUGAGGAUAGUCAAAUGUAAAGGAGGACCACGAUAUCUGUACACACGCACAGAGAAUAGAGAAAAAGCAAUUUUAAAUCAGCAAAGGUGAUUUCAAGCCUUUUUUUUUAUCCUCUCUUAUGAUUUCUUUUUUAGUUUAUUUUUUUUAUUUUUAUUUUUCUUUUCAUUUGGUUCGGAUUUUUUUUAGUAUGUGAGUCAAUCCCAAUGAAAGCCCGAAUACUUCAAAAAUACUGAGGUGAAGGCGAGGGAACAAAUAGUGUUGAAUCUUUGCUCUAUGAACCUAUCUUCGUUUUUUUAAAAAAAAAAAUAAUGUGAAGUUUGAAGUUUUUUUUUUUAAAAAAUAAUAAAAAGGGAGGGAAGAAAAUACUUACCAAAUUUCUCUAGGCAUGGUCGAAUGCCUUCAACGAGGAAGAUGAGUUCUAUCUGCAUGCUGUUGAUCACCAAAAUAAUGGUGGUUCGGCUGCUAGCAAAAGAAACCCUAGAAAUUUGCUUCCAAGGCUGUGAUUUCGGCUUAAAAAUGGGGCUGCGUUUGAGAUGGAAAAUGGGGAAAGAAAGGUUUUAAAUAACCUUUUAACAAAGUAGUGAUGCUUGCAUAAAUAACGGCCCGCGUGUCAGCUCAUUUGGCAGGCCCAAUCUGCACAUUAUCACUCAAAAGUGGGGAAUUUGCUUGGUGGGUCCUUUCCCUUGCGCACAACAUCCAAUUUGCGCCCAAUUUGCCUACCCUAUGUUUUAAAAUUUGGCCUUCUGAUUUGUGUGUUGUUUUAUUUUGAUCCGCGGUUCGUUGCAGCAUUGUGUGGGCGCGAGAGAUUUACAAUUCCAGUCCCCGCAUAUUUGUGCGCAUAACACAUUGACUCUAUUUUGCAAUUAUUUAUUUGUAAAUUGGUUCUCCUGUUUU
rnacentral:lncRNA from 1 species